UAAUGUAAUAAAAUUAGGUACAGUUGGUUUCAUAUAAAUUGUCUGCGACACUCAUUGAAUUACUACGGGUGUCGCGGUCAUUUUAUUUGGAAUCAACUAUACUUACCUACAUUGGUGACAU
rnacentral:precursor_RNA from 12 species